rnacentral:rRNA from 1 species
UACGUAGGAGGCAAGCGUUGUCCGGAUUUACUGGGCGUAAAGCGCGCGCAGGCGGCAGUGUAAGUAAGGUGUGAAAUCUCCCUGCUCAACGGGGAGGGUGCAUUUUAGACUGCACAGCUAGAGGUCGGUAGAGGGGGGUGGAAUUGCUGGUGUAGCGGUGAAAUGCGCAGAUAUCAGGAAGAACACCCGUGGCGAAGGCGGCUCUCUGGGACGGUACUGACGCUGAGACGCGAAAGCGUGGGGAGCAAACAGG